UUAACUUACCAGCGUUUUUUGGAUCCUGCUUGUUCGCCUGCCUGUUGUGACCCGUUUUGCCCUUCGACCACCGUCUCCGCCUGUCCCUUGUCUGCCUGCUCGUCUGUCUUCGACCUGGUUCGUCUAUCACACCUGAGAAUUCGCCUGACCCCUGUCUGUUCAUCCGCCUCGGUGCCCUAUCCUGGUUUCGACCCCUGCCUGGACUAUCGUCGGGUUCCCCUCGUGUGCUCCCGACCAGGGCUGUAAAGUGGUUCUCUUGGAAUCCGAAGCCGAGACGGUUCCCCACUACAACCACACUGAAGAAAGAUCCAUUACUUUCCUGUGUGAAUUAUUUACUCUGACUGUAUUCAAUAAAUCCCCUUUAAUUGUAUUUCCGUCUGUGGGUCUUGCAUCUGGGUCCGGUUCUCGUACCAUCAGUCCUAACACUGCAUGGGGAAACACAAAACUUCACUUCAACCACUUUUCAUUCUGCAAAAAAAAAACCAAUCAGAAUCAUUCAUAAUGCUUGAUUUUCGGGUUCACACGAAGGACUUC